GACGUAGGUGGCGAACGUUAUCCGGAAUCAUUGGGCGUAAAGGGUGCGUAGAUGGCAUGAUAAGUUAUAAGUGGAAAAUCGAGGCUCAACCUCGUGGAAGCUGGUAAUACUGUUUUGCUUGAGUGCAGGAGAGGUUAACGGAACUCCAUGUGGAGCGGUAAAAUGCAUAGAUAUAUGGAAGAACAUCAAUAACGGCGAAGGCAGUUAACUAUUCUGCUACUGACAUUGAGGCACGAAAGCGUGGGGAGCAAAACGG
rnacentral:rRNA from 1 species